UACAGAGGGUGCUAGCUUUGUUCGGAAUCAUUGGGCGUAAAGGGCGUGUAGGCGGUUUGUUAAGUCAUGUGUGAAAUCCCUCGGCUCAACCGGGGAACGACGCAUGAAACUGGCAAGCUAGAGUACCAAAGAGGGUCGCGGAAUUCCCGGUGUAGAGGUGAAAUUCGUAGAUAUUCGGAAGAACACCAGUGGCGAAGGCGACUCGCUGGACAGGUAUUGACGCUGAGGUGCGAAAGCGUGGGGAGCAAACAGG
rnacentral:rRNA from 1 species